rnacentral:tRNA from 2 species
GCCUGCGUAGCUCAGUGGUAGAGCACUUUCUUGGUAAGAAAGAGGCCGAGAGUUCAAUCCUCUCCGUAGGCUC